AAUACGACUCUCGGCAACGGAUAUCUCGGCUCUCGCAUCGAUGAAGAACGUAGCGAAAUGCGAUACUUGGUGUGAAUUGCAGAAUCCCGUGAACCAUCGAGUCUUUGAACGCAAGUUGCGUCCCAAGCCGUUAGGCUGAGGGCACGUCUGCCUGGGUGUCACGC
rnacentral:rRNA from 1 species